AUUGAACGCUGGCGGCAGGCCUAACACAUGCAAGUCGAGCGGAUGACGGGAGCUUGCUCCUGGAUUCAGCGGCGGACGGGUGAGUAAUGCCUAGGAAUCUGCCUGGUAGUGGGGGACAACGUUUCGAAAGGAACGCUAAUACCGCAUACGUCCUACGGGAGAAAGCAGGGGACCUUCGGGCCUUGCGCUAUCAGAUGAGCCUAGGUCGGAUUAGCUUGUUGGUGAGGUAAUGGCUCACCAAGGCGACGAUCCGUAACUGGUCUGAGAGGAUGAUCAGUCACAAUGGAACUGAGACACGGUCCAGACUACUACGGGAGGGAGCAGUGGGGAAUAUUGGUAAAUGGGCGAAAGCCUGAUCCAGCCAUGACGGGUGUGUGAAGAAGGUCUUCGGAUUGUAAAGCACUUUAAGUUGGGAGGAAGGGUUGUAGAUUAAUACUCUGCAAUUUUGACGUGACCGACAGAAUAAGCACCGGCUAACUCUGUGCCAGCAGCCGCAGUAAGAC
rnacentral:rRNA from 1 species